rnacentral:rRNA from 1 species
AGACUCUGUGCGCGUGCAUAUCAAUAAGCGGAGGAAAAGAAACUAACAAGGAUUCCCUUAGUAACGGCGAGUGAAGCGGGAAGAGCUCAAAUUUGAAAUCUUCAAGGUUUUACCUUGACGAAUUGUAGUUUAAAGAAGUGUUUUCUGUUGAAGUUUUGGUAAAAGUUCUUUGGAAUAGGACAUCAUAGAGGGUGAGAAUCCCGUAUUUGACCAUUAUUUCCAACUUUGUGAUACACUUUCAAAGAGUCGGAUUGUUUGGGAAUGCAGUCCAAAAUGGGUGGUAAAUUUCAUCUAAAGCUAAAUAUUGGCGAGAGACCGAUAGCGAACAAGUACCGCGAGGGAAAGAUGAAAAGAACUUUGAAAAGAGAGUUAAACAGUACGUGAAAUUGUCAAAAGGGAAGCGUUUGACACCAGUGUUGUUUUUCCGAAAAUCAAUUACGAAUGUUUUAUUUUUGAGAAGUUAUGACUUCAUCGGCUUGCUCCUUUCUUUACGAAACUUUCUUAAUGCACUUUUCGGUUAACAAGUCAACAUCAAUUUCUUUUGUUGUAAAAGGGUAUGAGGAAGGUGGCUUUCUUCUCGGAGAAAGUGUUUAUAGCCUUGUGCCUCUGCAAUCGGAGAGAUUGAGGUCUGCAGCGUAGAUCCUUCGGGGUUAGAUACGUUUGUGCUAAGUUAUAGCUUUUCAUAGACAACUUGUUGACUAUGUUUAGUCUUGUAGCUUACUCGCUUACGCUAUUUUACCUACGCUUAGGAUGUUGAACUCUAUCACACACAG